rnacentral:rRNA from 1 species
AAUGUUGGAGGAAGAGAAAAGAAGGAGGGGGUGAGUAACACGUGGGAAACCUGCCCACAAGCGUGGGGAUAACACCUGGAAACAGAUGCUAAUACCGCAUAACAACUUGGACCGCAUGGUCCGAGUUUGAAAGAUGGCUUCGGCUAUCACUUUUGGAUGGUCCCGCGGCGUAUUAGCUAGAUGGUGGGGUAACGGCUCACCAUGGCAAUGAUACGUAGCCGACCUGAGAGGGUAAUCGGCCACAUUGGGACUGAGACACGGCCCAAACUCCUACGGGAGGCAGCAGUAGGGAAUCUUCCACAAUGGACGAAAGUCUGAUGGAGCAACGCCGCGUGAGUGAAGAAGGGUUUCGGCUCGUAAAACUCUGUUGUUAAAGAGGAACAUAUCUGAGAGUAACUGUUCAGGUAUUGACGGUAUUUAACCAGAAAGCCACGGCUAACUACGUGCCAGCAGCCGCGGUAAUACGUAGGUGGCAAGCGUUGUCCGGAUUUAUUGGGCGUAAAGCGAGCGCAGGCGGUUUUUUAAGUCUGAUGUGAAAGCCUUCGGCUCAACCGAAGAAGUGCAUCGGAAACUGGGAAACUUGAGUGCAGAAGAGGACAGUGGAACUCCAUGUGUAGCGGUGAAAUGCGUAGAUAUAUGGAAGAACACCAGUGGCGAAGGCGGCUGUCUGGUCUGUAACUGACGCUGAGGCUCGAAAGUAUGGGUAGCAAACAGGAUUAGAUACCCUGGUAGUCCAUACCGUAAACGAUGAAUGCUAAGUGUUGGAGGGUUUCCGGCCCUUCAGUGCUGCAGCUAACGCAUUAAGCAUUCCCGCCUGGGGAGUACGGCCGCAGGCUGAACUCAAGGGAAUUGACUGGGUCCGCACAGCGGUGGAGCAUGUGGUUAAUUUCGAGGCCUACCGCGAAGAACCUUUA